UUAUCGAAUGAAAUGGGCUGUUGCUGGCUCCUUGCAUGUGCACGCCUGUUCAUUUAUUUCUCCUCUGUGCACCAGCUGUAGGUCUAGGCCUAUGUUUUUUUUUACACUCUCUCAAAUGUGUUUGGAAUGUCAUAUGCGAAUAUAUAAUAUAUACAACUUUCAGCAACGGAUCUCUUGGCUCUCGCAUCGAUGAAGAACGCAGCGAAAUGCGAUAAGUAAUGUGAAUUGCANAAUUCAGUGAAUCAUCGAAUCUUUGAACGCAUCUUGCGCUCCUUGGUAUUCUGAGGAGCAUGCCUGUUUGAGUGUCAUAAAGUUCUCAAUCCAUGCCAUGGUAUGGAUUGGAUGGUUGGGAUUUGCAGGCUUUGAAAAAAAGGUCUGCUUUCCUGAAACAAAUUAGUGGCGUCCGAGCACAAGGGGACCACUACAGGUUGUAUUUAUGCCUCCUGUAAAACCCCCAUUGCCCAAGCUGCUUCC
rnacentral:rRNA from 1 species